rnacentral:rRNA from 1 species
UACGGAGGGGGCUAGCGUUGUUCGGAAUUACUGGGCGUAAAGCGCGCGUAGGCGGACCUGCAAGUCGGGGGUGAAAGCCCGAGGCUCAACCUCGGAACUGCCUUCGAUACUGCGGGUCUCGAGUCCGGGAGAGGUGAGUGGAAUUCCUAGUGUAGAGGUGAAAUUCGUAGAUAUUAGGAAGAACACCAGUGGCGAAGGCGGCUCACUGGCCCGAUACUGACGCUGAGGUGCGAAAGCGUGGGGAGCAAACAGG